UAUUCUUGGUCUUAAUUGUUUGACUAUUUGAUGAAAUAGUUAGACACUAUCUGUGGCGUGUGAAUUGAACUACGGAUAGGGAAUUUGCAUGCGUAAUAAGAAUAAAUAGAGGUUGGUCGAUUAAUCAUUUCGCUAAUGAGGAUAGAAAUAUACCCUUUAGCCUUGUUUAGUUGAAUACGGAAAAGUAAAUGCAUUCUUGUUACCUCUGGCAACCAUAGGAAUAAUAUAGGUGUUAUAGUAGCAUCUACAGGCUUGUGAGCGACUCGGAAGGUACUCAUAAAGUUAACAUCAACUUGUCAACUAGUAACCCAUAGGUAGAACGAUUUGAAGACUCAACUAGAUUGUUAGUGGUCAUAGCCCUAGAUCUAUCUCUUCUCCGAUAAAAAUCCUCUCUUUCUUGGUUGAAGUUCAUUAUUUGCUUUCUUUUAUUUUUAUUUAGUUUAUAAAUAUAACUUUUGGAUUUUAUUUCUUGUUUAGAUAAUUAGCAUUAGUUUAAUUUAGUAAAUAGUUAAUCAUAAGUCCCUGUGGGUACGAUAUCUGAACUUUAAUUCUAUAUUACUUGUACGACCACGUAUACUUGCGUGUGCGUUUGGGAGCAACAACACCAUCCUUCAUUUUCUUGACAUCCAGGGCAAUGUGGGUGCACUUAGAUUACUUUUUUAGGAAAGGCUAGUGAGCAAUUAAGAUCUCAACACAAAAAUUCCUGAUACUUGCUGAAGAGCUUUCUAUUUUUCCCUUGCUGAAGUCUGGCUGUGAAUAAUAAUUUCAGAGCAAAUUUUAGUUUCUUUUUUUCAGGGAUUAUUUGAGUGAGUGCAUGCAAAUAUUGUGUUGUUUCUUUUUCAGGGAUUAUUUGAGUGAGUGCAUGCAAAUAUUGUGUUUCAUAGUAAAUUGACAAAAGCUUACGGUAGACGGUAGUUAUACCUUUAUACUUUCUGGUAGCUUGACUGAAGUUUAUUCCCAGUUCAUAAUAUUGAAGAUUUUGAUCUUAAUUAAAAUACUUAUUUUUCAGGACCAGCGCGAAGAGAAUUUUAUGGGUUACUUGCUACUUUCCACCGAUGCAGUCCAUCUAAUUCAGAUUUGCUCGGCGACGUUCAAACAAAGAGUGAAUGAGGAGCAACAAUCACUUGGGAAGAGUAAUAGGAGACUCUAAGAGACUUUUUAUCCAUUCAUUGGUAUGUCUUGUCUGUCUUUAUGUUCUUUUCUGUCAACCAAUUCCACCAAACAUUCAAGCUAAAAUAGUUGAUUUCUACUAUAUCAUAGUUGACUUAGGAAGAGUAUCGUAGUUGAUAAUUUUCAGUGGCCUUCCCACAUUUACCAGACUUUUCUUUUGAUUUCAUUCUUCAAAGAAUCACUGGGAGAAUGCACUUAAUCUUAUCUCACUUAAAUUUAACACAAUCAUGUUAGUUCAAUGUGCUAUUCAAAUAGUAGUUGCAAUGUAAAUUAUAAAUUUUCUUGUGUUGAUUGCAGAGAAUGAAAAAGGUACAUUCUAGCAGAAGAAGCAUUGAGGAUUGUUGAGUACGAUAUUGAUGAUGAUAAAUAAAAUAUGCUUGUCCUGAUUGUGUUUUAUUCAUAGUUUGUCAAGAAAUAAUAAGGAUACAAAAAAAGGAAUUUAGCAAUAAUUGAUUGUUUGGCGGGAUAUAUUUGUUGCUAAAUUACUAUGAGUAAGUAUCCUAUAUUAUUAUUGAGUUUUCAUCUGUUGGGAUUUAUCAAAAAGGAAUUGGAAUUGAACAAGGAGUCAACAAGAUCUGAAUUAGAUAAGGAAAGGAAUUUGGUUUAACUUCUACUUGUUAUCCCUCUUCAAGUUGGAAUCUAACAAGAUGGAACAAGCGUAUAAUCUAUAAAUAAGGUCUAUCAACGUUCUGAAGAGUCCACACCGAUACAAAUAUUUCAGCAGCCAUUUGAAUUCCAAGCAAAGAAGCCUGAAAUACGAAAUAGAAUUGGGUCAGUGUCUAUGUAUGUCUAAAAGUAUGUUCCAUAGGUUGAAACAUAUUCUCUUUUGUGUUAACUCUAGUGAAUGUAAUAGGUUUGAUUUGUAAUCUUUUAUCAUCUUUCUUAGAAGCGUUAGUUAAGGUUAUAACACUUUCUAAGUUUGUUGUUUUCGUUUACAAGUUAAGGGUAGCUUGAAAGGUAGCAGCAAUUUAGGAUUCUUGUAAAGGGAUUAGGAGUUGGUCCUUUGGAUUGUGAGGGGUAAUCCAAUUUGGCUUGGUGUUUUAGUGAAGUUUAGUUGAAAUCCUACAGGGUGUAGCUCGUGGUUUUUACAUCCAGUCGAGCCUGGAUGGUUUUUCACGUAUAAAUCUGUUGCACAAUA